CUCAAGUUCUGUCGAAGGGUCAUGAGGACUCGAAACGUCAACUCUUUUCUUCUCCGCCGAUGCUGCCAGACCUGAUGAGUUUUUCCAGGUAAUUCUGUUUUUGUCCCUGGAACAUGAGCUGCUCCCGGAAUAUGGAGUGAGCGGGGGGAAGGGAGAGGCCAUUCUCGAGCAGUGUCUGGACAGAGUGAGAAGAACUCGCCAUUGAAGAUCAUUACUGCUUUCUCUCCCCAAACCCGAGUGAAGCUUCCUGGCUUAGUUCCGGUCUCCACUGUCCCUUUUUAUUGGACAGAGAAUGGCGGGGAGAAUAGCCGCACAGUAACAAUGUUUCCAGUUACACAAAGAAGAUCAAUUUCAGGCACCAGGUAAAGGAGUUAUGUUUUCUGAAUCCAUAGAAAGAAUUGAAAGAACCAGAUGGUUCUUUGAAACAAGGAAAAGUGCAGCCUGAUGGUUCCAACUCACAGCAAAUAAUUGAAGGAACCAGAAUAAAUGUGAUGUUUCCUCCAGCCAAAUUAGAAUGAAGAUUCCCACCAGCUCCUUCUCACACACAGUAUGUACAUUAUCACUGACCGAGCACAGAGGCACAGACAUGUCAUCAAUUUCACAGUCUCAGACAGCAGAAAUAGUUCCACAGUCAUUUUCCAACCAUGAAUCAAACAGAGCAGAAGAGAUAGACAUUGUAUCCAUGUCACCCAAACUCAGUCCUGCAGAUGGGAGUGUCCAUAAAUCCCAGUCCAAAUUCUCACCCGCUAUUAAAUUAUCACUGGGUCAAUCCCACAGUCGUGCUGCCUUCGCUACAAAUUAAAUACCUGAUAAAACUGACACGUUUCCAGUUACAAGCUUACAGGCUUAACUUUAAAGAUGUACACUGAGAUUCAUGUUAAUCACCAGCCCAAUAUUCACACACAUCAUGGACUUAUAAAUUGCACUAUUAAUUCCCAUAGUGUGUCCUGACAUAUACCUGAGAUACAAGUUCAAACCUCAAGUACAUUAUCAGUUUGAGAUAUUCUGAAACCUGAGACAGAAAUUCAGAUUCUAGUUCGAAACUCACCCUGAUUAUAAAACUAAAAGAUACAAUAUUAAUUUGAUGAAUAUGAACUGAGCUAUAGAUUACAUACUAAUCCUCCAUCCUCACACAGUGUCAAAUGGAAAUACUGUAACAAUUCCAGACUGAGCUCGUUUUGACAUCCAUGUCAAAGUUCUUACUCAGAAUCAGACUGAAUGUCACAGAGCAAAUCGAUUAGUACAACUUGAGUUACACUUGCACACCCAUCCAGUAUCAGAUUAAAGGAUUCAUUAUCUUUCCCAAUUGUGUUCAAAGUGACAGAUUUAAUAUUGGGCCAAAACUUCCACAUAUCGUUUGCUUAAGCUGACCACAUUAGUGAUCUGUGGCUGUGCUGGAAAUUUAUUUACAAUUAACCCAAUCUUACAAACAGUCCCAGACACUCAAGGUUACACAAUGAAUCCUCUACUCACACAGAGUACCAGUGAGCAAUUAUCAAACACAUGUUCAGUGCUGGAUGUUGAGAGACACAGACUGUUUACUGCACUCACUCACAAUAUUUCAGUGUGAGUGAUACCAAAUUAUUCUGACACACCAAUUUUACCUCUGAGGAUUGUAGAAAGGGUCCAAGAGCUUCAUAGAAUAACAGGUGCUGACAGAAACAAAUGGAAGUCUAUAUGCACCUACACAAACACACACACACAUGCACAUUGUUAUGUAGGUUGGGAAUCAGAUGUAUAUUUCAGUCCCUCAUGCUAUUUGUGAGCAUGAGAUUCAUUCUGUAUCUG